rnacentral:rRNA from 1 species
UGAGUACGAGAUGCUACGGCGUCGAAGCAGUCUAGGUCAUACUUCCAAGAAAAGCUUGCACUGUCAUAAACAAAGAAUGCCUGUACCAUAACCGACACAGGUGGGUAGGUAGAGUAUACUAAGGGGCGCGAGAUAACUCUCUCUAAGGAACUCGGCAAAAUGACUCCGUAACUUCGGGAGAAGGAGUGCCUUAUUUUUAAGGUUGCAAUAACAAGAUCCAAGCAACUGUUUACCAAAAACACAGGUCUCCGCUAAGUCGUAAGACGAUGUAUGGGGGCUGACGCCUGCCCAGUGCCAGAAGGUUAAAGAAGUUGGUUAGCAUUUGCGAAGCUGAUAACUGAAGCCCUGGUGAACGGCGGCCGUAACGAUAACGGUCCUAAGGUAGCGAAAUUCCUUGUCGGGUAAGUUCCGACCCGCACGAAAGGCGUAAUGAUUUGGAUACUGUCUCGGAGAGGGGCUCGGUGAAAUAGACUUGUCUGUGAAGAUGCGGACUACCUGCACCUGGACAGAAAGACCCUAUGAAGCUUUACUGUAACUUGAGAUUGAAAUUGGACUUUAUUUGCGCAGUAUAGGUGGGAGGCGUUGAGAAUAAUCUUGCGGGAUUAUCGGAGCCAUCAGUGUGAUACCACUCUUGUAAUGUUAGAUUUCUAACUUUGUAUCAUUAUCUGGUCAAAGAACAGUUUCAGGCGGGCAGUUUGACUGGGGCGGUCGCCUCCCAAAGGGUAACGGAGGCGCACAAAGGUUUCCUCUGAACGGGUAGAAAUCGUAUCUAGAGUGUAAAGGCAUAAGGAAGCUUGACUGUGAGACCUACAAGUCGAGCAGGGACGAAAGUCGGUCUUAGUGAUCUGACGGUGCUGAGUGGAAAGGCCGUCACUCAACGGAUAAAAGUUACUCUAAGGAUAACAGGCUGAUCUCCCCCAAGAGUUCACAUCGACGGGGAGGUUUGGCACCUCGAUGUCGGCUCAUCGCAUCCUGGGGCGGUAGUACGUCCCAAGGGUUGGGCUGUUCGCCCAUGAAAGCGGUACGCGAGCUGGGUUCAGAACGUCGUGAGACAGUUCGGUCCAUAUCCGGUGUAGGCGUUAGAAUAUUGAAAGGAGCCUUCUCUAGUACGAGAGGACCGAGAAGGACAUACCUCUGGUGUGCCAGUUAUCGUGCCAACGGUAAACGCUGGGUAGCUAUGUAUGGAGUGGAUAACCGCUGAAAGCAUCUAAGUGGGAAGCCCACCUUAAGAUAAG